rnacentral:rRNA from 1 species
AUUGAACGCUGGCGGCAGGCCUAAUACAUGCAAGUCGAGCGCAGCGGCGGACGGGUGAUUAAUGCCUAGGAAUCUGCCCGGUAGUGGGGGACACCGUCCGGGAACGGGCGCUAAUACCGCAUACUAUCAGAUGAGCCUAGGUCGGAUUAGCUAGUUGGUGGGGUAAAGGCUUACCAGGGCGACGAUCCGUAACUGGUCUGAGAGGAUGAUCAGUCAAACGGGAACGGAGACACGGUCCAGACUCCUACGGGAGGCAGCAGUGGGGAAUAUUGGACAAUGGGCGAAAGCCUGAUCCAGCCAUGCCGCGUGUGUGAAGAAGGUCGUCGGAUUGUAAAGCACUUUAAGUUGGGAGGCGGUACCAACAGAAUAAGCACCGGCUAACUUCGUGCCAGCCGCCGCGGUAAUAC